UACGGGGGGGGCAAGCGUUGUUCGGAAUUACUGGGCGUAAAGGGCUCGUAGGCGGCCAACUAAGUCAGACGUGAAAUCCCUCGGCUUAACCGGGGAACUGCAUCUGAUACUGGAUGGCUUGAGUGUGGGAGAGGGAUGCGGAAUUCCAGGUGUAGCGGUGAAAUGCGUAGAUAUCUGGAGGAACACCGGUGGCGAAGGCGGCAUCCUGGACCACGACUGACGCUGAGUGAGCGAAAGCCAGGGGAGCAAACGGG
rnacentral:rRNA from 1 species